rnacentral:rRNA from 1 species
CAAUAGCGUAUAUUAAAGUUGUUGCAGUUAAAAAGCUCGUAGUUGGAUUUCUGGUGGGAGCGAUCGGUCUGGCGCUUAGCGCGAGUACUUGCAUCGUCUCCGGCCAUCCUUGGGGAGAGUCUGUCUGGCAUUAGGUUGUCGGGCAGAGGAUCCUCAUCGUUUACUGUGAAAAAAUUAGAGUGUUCAAAGCAGGCUUAUGCCGUUGAAUACAUUAGCAUGGAAUAAUAAGAUAGGACUUUGGUACUAUUUUGUUGGUUUGCGCACCAAAGUAAUGAUUAAUAGGGACAGUUGGGGGUAUUCGUAUUCCGUUGUCAGAGGUGAAAUUCUUGGAUUUACGGAAGACGAACUACUACGAAAGCAUUUACCAAGGAUGUUUUCAUUAA